rnacentral:rRNA from 1 species
AUUGAACGCUGGCGGCAGGCCUAUCACAUGCAAGUCGAGCGGCAGCGGAAAGUAGCUUGCUACUUUGCCGGCGAGCGGCGGACGGGUGAGUAAUGUCUGGGAAACUGCCUGAUGGAGGGGGAUAACUACUGGAAACGGUAGCUAAUACCGCAUAAUGUCGCAAGACCAAAGAGGGGGACCUUCGGGCCUCUUGCCAUCAGAUGUGCCCAGAUGGGAUUAGCUAGUAGGUGGGGUAACGGCUCACCUAGGCGACGAUCCCUAGCUGGUCUGAGAGGAUGACCAGCCACACGGGAACGGAGACACGGUCCAGACUCCUACGGGAGGCAGCAGUGGGGAAUAUUGCACAAUGGGCGCAAGCCUGAUGCAGCCAUGCCGCGUGUAUGAAGAAGGCCUUCGGGUUGUAAAGUACUUUCAGCGGGGAGGAAGGUGCUGAGGUUAAUAACCUCAGCAAUUGACGUUACCCGCAGAAGAAGCACCGGCUAACUCCGUGCCAGCAGCCGCGGUAAAAC